CUUCUUGAAGUUCUCGGCGAUGCGGUCGAAGGUCUCGAGCACCUUCGGCUUGAGUUCGGCUUCCAUGGCCGACAGGGAGA
rnacentral:tRNA from 2 species